AUCUAAUUGUUUUAAUUUUGUUAAAUAAAACAAUGACAACUUACAUUGGAUAGACUCUUCAUGCUGGAGUGAAGAGUGAUGGUAAUAGAUGCUUAAAGGUCUCACGCACAGACCAAUGGUGACAUAAAGGUCGCCAGGCUUAGUAGCACUGACAGCCUGCCGCUGUCACAACAAACACAUCCAUCUUUGAAAAGACUUGUAAUGAGUAUGUGUCUUAGCAUGCUCCUGAAGUACAGUCCGCUUCUCCUUCCCCGAGGAGAAUCAAGACCCCUGAUUGUGGGAACCAAGGACUGCAUUGUAGAUGGAGCCACCUACAAUAGCUGGCCGAAUCCCAGGACCACUCCCAAAUAAGUCAAAAGCACACAGGCUGCAUAGCAGAUGAUUUUUGAACCAAGGUUUUGACCUGCCUGGCAGUGUAAUAUUUACCCCCUCAAACUGAUUACAAAAUCUAUGUUGAGUGCACAGACCUCAACAACAAGGCGCGCAUCCAUGUGAUUGCAAAAUUCAUUUCAUAUCGAAUUAUGCUUCUCCUCUGCAGUCACUUUUCUUUUCAGUACACAACAUGUAAUCCUGUUUGUUUUAUAUUUAAUUUGAAAGUCAAGUUAAUCUGUGAAAUACAUUGAAAAAGCUUGAACCGUCCUUUUUUUAAAAUCACGCUCUUCUAAACUGCUGCUUGUUAUAAAGGGAGUUGAGUUCACUGCCAGCGCUUGUAUCUUGAAUUUGUACUCGCAAGUCAGAGCAAGAAAAGAAAUUGUCCAAACAAUGGCUGCUCUCUUGAAAAGAUAGUAAGUUGGGUCAAUCGUAUCUCAAGGUGCAGUCCAAACUAUUGGCGUCACCUCUCAGUAUGAAACGUUUCCCUAAUGGUGCGAAAUUAUUCAGCCUCUCAGACAGUCUCAAUCGAAACUCAUCAUAACUAAAUUGUCAAAAAGUAAUUUUUUGAGGAAUCUCUCAUGUUUGAUCUCACACAAACUGCUGCUUUGCCUCAUUGCUGCCAUGCGGUGUAACUGUAUAUUGACUCUCAUCCGAAUGGCUUCAUUUCAGAUCCAUGCAAGUUGUUCCUGAAUAAAUGAUUUUAAGAAUCA